rnacentral:hammerhead_ribozyme from 1 species
AUCCAGAUGAUGAUUCCCAAAUAGGACGAAAUGCGCGUUAUCCUGGAU